rnacentral:tRNA from 1 species
GGCCCCGUAGCUCAGUGGAUAGAGCAGCAGGCUUCGAACCUGCGUGCGGAGGUUCAAUUCCUCCCGGGGCCA